GACGAACACUGGCGGCGUGCCUAAUACAUGCAAGUCGACCUUAGUGGCGAACGGGUGAGUAACACGUGGGUAACCUACCCAUCAGAAGGGGAUAACACUUGGAAACAGGUGCUAAUACCGUAUACUGAUGGAUGGCGCCUCGGUGCAUUAGCUAGUUGGUGAGGUAACGGCUCACCAAGGCCACGAUGCAUAGCAGACCUGAGAGGGUGAACUGCAACAUUGGGACUGAGACAGGGCCCAAACUCCUAAGGGAGGCAGCAGUGGGGAAUAUUGCACAAUGGGCGCAAGCCUGAUGCAGCAAUGCCGCGUGUAUGAAGAAGGACUUCGGGUUGUAAAGUACUUUCAGCGGGGAGGCGUUACCCGCAGAAGAAGCACCGGCUAACUCCGUGCCAGCAGCCGCGGUAAUAC
rnacentral:rRNA from 1 species